UGUUUAGAGGGAUGUCGGCCCCUGCGGCCCGUGCAGCCCGUGCGACCCUUACGGCCCCUGCCGCCCUUACGACCCUUGCGGCCCCUGCCUCCCCCGCGGCCCCUGCCGCCCCUGCCACUCCUGUUUUAGGGCAGCACGACCCAAACUCUCCGACUUCAGCGUGGGUUGAUUUAAUGGUGAAGAUAGAUGAAUUGAAUGGGACAAUCAGGGACGAAUUUAAAAAUUUAAGAACUAUUCAUGCGUCUAAUAAAGGGAAUUUAUGUUGUAAAGAUUUUGCAAAAGAUGUUGCGAAAGACGAUGUUGUGAAAGAUAUUGCAUUGCACAUUGCAAUCAGUGGUGCAAUCGUUAUUUUUGUAGAAUUUUUUUCAUUUCCCUUUUUAUUAUUGGGUCAAUAUGCUUUAUUUUGGCUUGCACAUUAUCCGGUGGUAACGCCGCAGUUAUUCUAGGUUUGUUAGGGUCAUUUUUUUUAAGUUCCAUCUCUGUUUUUAGUCUAUGGUGUCAAUCUUAGAAUAGGGUUUUCAUAGGAGGAUAUACAUCAUUGACAAAAUAUGCACUUACAUCCAAAAAUGAACAUGAUCCAACUAUUUUAUCAUUUGAAGCAAGAUUUAGUGAAUCUCACAAUAUUAAAGUGCCAAUAGUGGAAAAUGUUUGUUUACACCACUUUCUUUUCUUACUGCACAUUUUAUUUCUAACUACAAUUAUCAAUCACAAUAUGCAUUUGAAUUUCCUUAAAACAAUUUUUACAGUGAUCUUGUACCUCUAUUUUGGUUUUAUAUAUCAUUCCUUCCAGUUAUUUAAUUCUCAGAAAAUUUGUGUGCCAUCAUACAUUGAUUUAACAUGAUCUCUACAUCUGGGGCCUUUUAAUCUUUUAUCGAUUCUUGCUAGAUGUGUGCAGGAAAAAUAUGAAGUAAUGGAGAGCAGGGCUGUAAUAUCUUUGAACUUUAAUUUAACUCAGCAAACAUUCUGCUCAUUUAUCUGAUGCCAUCAUGUUGUACAAUCAUGUGACUUUUGCUGUUUUAUAGGACACUAAGUUCAGAUAAUUCAUCUGAGAACAUAUUAAGAUGGCAUAGAUAAAUUUUCCUUUGUAGUCAGAUGAUCUUUGCUGCAACUCAUGAAGCAUACCAGAAGAAAGGUUGGGUAUGACAAAUCCAGAUCAUAUCAAUCAGUGCAAGAGAGAGCCCUUCAUUGAGAGAGUAAAGGAGGAAAAUGGUGAAGGAUGCAACAUUGAUGGUUUUGUGGAAGUGAGUAAAGUUGCUAGAAAUUUUCACUUUGCCCCUGGAAAAAGGUUCCAUGGAUCUUUCAUUAUUUUGCAAGCAUUCGGACUGACAAUUAUAAUAUGAGCCACAAAAUAAACAAAUUAUCUUUUGGAAAGGAAUUCCCUGGUGUUAUAAACCCACUUUAUAGGUUGUUCCUACAAUCUAUACUGAUAUCAGAGGCCGUAAAAUUUACUCCAACCAGAAAUGCAGAUGCAUAUCUGAAGCUGCCAGCUGGCGUUUACUUCUUUUAUGACUUCUCCCCAAUCAAGGUCAUAUUUACCGAAGAAAAUGCAUCGCUGCUGCACCUUUUGCUAUUAUUGGAGGUGUUUUUACUGUCUCCAGAAUCAUUGAUGCUUUUAUCUACCAUGGGCAUGGCGCAAUCAAGAAGAAGAUGGAACUUGGGAAGCACUCAUGAUUCCACCUUGGAUUGAAAUAUGGUUUAUUUGAGGGAGGUGAAAGCUAUUUCUACUGGGCAGGCUAGGCUAUUCUGCCAAUUCCAUUCGUUUGUGGGCAUUCAAGCGAGAGUACAAAAGAUGUAUACAACAGGAACAAAAUUCUGAUGAGAACUCGUUUCGUUGAUGUGUAUAAUUCGAUUGCUGUUGCCAAGACAAGAAUGAUCUUUUUCCUUUUUCCAAA